rnacentral:rRNA from 1 species
AGCCCUUCGGGGUGGAUUAGUGGCGAACGGGUGAGUAACACGUGGGCAAUCUGCCCUUCACUCUGGGACAAGCCCUGGAAACGGGGUCUAAUACCGGAUACCACUCCUGCCUGCAUGGGCGGGGGUUGAAAGCUCCGGCGGUGAAGGAUGAGCCCGCGGCCUAUCAGCUUGUUGGUGGGGUAAUGGCCCACCAAGGCGACGACGGGUAGCCGGCCUGAGAGGGCGACCGGCCACACUGGGACUGAGACACGGCCCAGACUCCUACGGGAGGCAGCAGUGGGGAAUAUUGCACAAUGGGCGAAAGCCUGAUGCAGCGACGCCGCGUGAGGGAUGACGGCCUUCGGGUUGUAAACCUCUUUCAGCAGGGAAGAAGCGAAAGUGACGGUACCUGCAGAAGAAGCGCCGGCUAACUACGUGCCAGCAGCCGCGGUAAUACGUAGGGCGCAAGCGUUGUCCGGAAUUAUUGGGCGUAAAGAGCUCGUAGGCGGCUUGUCACGUCGGAUGUGAAAGCCCGAGGCUUAACCUCGGGUCUGCAUUCGAUACGGGCUAGCUAGAGUGUG